AUUACAUGAUUCCAAAUACUAUUGAUGAUAAAAUGCUCUACAAGCUUUCCUAUUUCUCCAAUUUCCCCCCACCUUUAAUGCCAAAUAUUAUAUGUAGCCUAUUCCUUGUGCAGCUUAGUACCAAGUGAUUUUUCAUGGUACUACUAAAAGAAGCACAAGAUGAGGAAUUCCUCAUAAUACAAAAAUAUUACUACUCCGAGUUAGGCGGUCUGGAUCCUGAUCUCUGGCAGCCCCGGAUUUUCUGAUUGUCCAACUACAGGAUGCAAUGGUUGUUGUUGCUGCUGAUUAUUAUGGGGGCGGUGGUUGUGGUGAUAUUGUUGUCCUGAGGGGUUGUCGAUGUAGCUAAAAUAUCUUUGAACAGGCAGAGUACUGUGCAACUGCACGGUACUGGUUGUCUGUGCAGGGGAUGAUCGAAGGCGUCUGCUUGAUCUCCACCUCAAAUACUCUACGAGGAGCGAAUUGGUACUAAUUGCAAUACCGAACCCAGUGAAGGAGGAAAGCAGCACCGAUAGGAGUGCACUAACGUUAAGCACUGCAUAGAAUAUAUGGGCGAACAGGAUGACUAUUGCAAACUGAAAUGAAGCAUAAGCCCAUAUGUAACUCUUGCCGACCAUAGUAGAAGCUAUCAAAGAAGAAAGGAGGCCUAAAACACAAGAGAAAGGUAAAGAGAUCGCAAGAGCACGAGCGCCUAAGUCAGACACCA
rnacentral:misc_RNA from 1 species